GAGGGUCCGGGGCGUUAUCCGGAUUUAUUGCGUUUAAGGGAGCGUAGGCCGGAGAUUAAGCGUGUUGUGAAAUGUAGACGCUCAACGUCUGCACUGCAGCGCGAACUGGUUUCCUUGAGUACGCACAAAGUGGGCGGAAUUCGUGGUGUAGCGGUGAAAUGCUUAGAUAUCACGAAGAACUCCGAUUGCGAAGGCAGCUCACUGGAGCGCAACUGACGCUGAAGCUCGAAAGUGCGGGUAUCGAACAGGAUUAGAUACCCUGGUAGUCCGCACGGUAAACGAUGGAUGCCCGCUGUUGGUCUGAACAGGUCAGCGGCCAAGCGAAAGCAUUAAGCAUCCCACCUGGGGAGUACGCCGGCAACGGUGAAACUCAAAGGAAUUGACGGGGGCCCGCACAAGCGGAGGAACAUGUGGUUUAAUUCGAUGAUACGCGAGGAACCUUACCCGGGCUUGAAUUGCAGAGGAAGGAUUUGGAGACAAUGACGCCCUUCGGGGCCUCUGUGAAGGUGCUGCAUGGUUGUCGUCAGCUCGUGCCGUGAGGUGUCGGCUUAAGUGCCAUAACGAGCGCAACCCCUCUCCUUAGUUGCCAUCAGGUUAAGCUGGGCACUCUGGGGACACUGCCACCGUAAGGUGUGAGGAAGGUGGGGAUGACGUCAAAUCAGCACGGCCCUUACGUCCGGGGCUACACACGUGUUACAAUGGCAGGUACAGAGAGACGGUCCCUUGCAAAAUGGAUCAAAUCCUUAAAGCCUGUCUCAGUUCGGACUGGGGUCUGCAACCCGACCCCACGAAGCUGGAUUCGCUAGUAAUCGGGCAUCAGCCAUGGCGCGGUGAAUACGUUCCCGGGCUUUGUACACACCGCCCGU
rnacentral:rRNA from 1 species